rnacentral:rRNA from 1 species
AGUGGCGGACGGGUGAGUAACGCGUGGGUAACCUACCCUGUACAGGGGGAUAACAGUCAGAAAUGACUGCUAAUACCGCAUAAGACCACAGCACCGCAUGGUGCAGGGGUAAAAACUCCGGUGGUACAGGAUGGACCCGCGUCUGAUUAGCUGGUUGGUGAGGUAACGGCUCACCAAGGCGACGAUCAGUAGCCGGCUUGAGAGAGUGAACGGCCACAUUGGGACUGAGACACGGCCCAGACUCCUACGGGAGGCAGCAGUGGGGAAUAUUGCACAAUGGGGGAAACCCUGAUGCAGCGACGCCGCGUGAAGGAAGAAGUAUCUCGGUAUGUAAACUUCUAUCAGCAGGGAAGAUAGUGACGGUACCUGACUAAGAAGCCCCGGCUAACUACGUGCCAGCAGCCGCGGUAAUACGUAGGGGGCAAGCGUUAUCCGGAUUUACUGGGUGUAAAGGGAGCGUAGACGGUGUGGCAAGUCUGAUGUGAAAGGCAUGGGCUCAACCUGUGGACUGCAUUGGAAACUGUCAUACUUGAGUGCCGGAGGGGUAAGCGGAAUUCCUAGUGUAGCGGUGAAAUGCGUAGAUAUUAGGAGGAACACCAGUGGCGAAGGCGGCUUA